CCACAUGGCCUGCAUCAGGCUCUUUCGCAGGCUGCUUUUGUCUCUUUGUUACAUUAUGAAUCCUCUUUGAACACAUGUGGCCGUCGGCACAACACAAACUGAAGAAAGAUUUCAAGUGGCUGGUGACACUCUUUCUCUCUCCCUUGUCCCCUCCUUCCUCUUCUAAUUUAGGGAACUGUGUGUAGGUGGCGGAGAUCCAGGCUUCUGGUCUUUGCAUGUCAAUGCUCAAAAAUAUCUCCCCAUCCUUCCUCUCCUGGCCAGCCUGCAUGGACAGGCAUGUCCCUGUCCCUCCUUCUUAUGGGGAAGCUCGGGUAGGCCUGGGGUGUCAUUCACUCCAGAAGUAACACCUCUGGAGGUGAGGCCAAAAGAGCCCGCUGAACAACUGCCGGGUUAACAACUGCACAUGUGGGGUGCGGCUGCACGAGGCUCUGCUGGGGCCUCCUUGCACAGACAGUCAGCCGGUGGUGUUAAUGUGCUGUGUUAAAAGUGACACCAGAGCGCUGCAGGCGCCACUGUCAGCUGUUGCGGGAGAUGACACCCCGGCCUGCAGAAUUGGGUGCGAGCUCAGAGCAGCGGCCCUCCCCCUCACUUGGGUCCCAGGAUCCUGGAGACCCGUGGGAAGGGGUUCAGGAGAGGUAGCCUGCUGAAGGAGGGCUUUGUCCUCAGCUUGCAAUGAGUAGGAUGCAGGUUAUGGGAACAGUGAAGUCAAAAGGCUGAAGGGACAGGUUAGGGCCAGGAAGGAAAAUGUCCAUGCUGAGAGCUCAGGGCUCUCUCCUCCCAGGCCUUCCCUCUUUUGCUUCCUCCCUCUUUCCCCUAGCCAUGCCUUCUUUCUUUCUGAAUACAGCUCUCACUAGGCCAGGCUGACCUUAAAGUUGCUAUAUAUAGUCCAGGAUGAUCUUCAACCCCUGAUCUUUCUGCCUCCUCUUCACAAGUGCUGAUUCCAGGCGGGCACCAGCACAGCCAGUUUACACAGUGCUGGGGAUAGAACCCAGAGCCUUGUGUAUGCCAGGCCAGCACUCCACCAAAUAAGCCACACCUCUAGCCCUCAAACUCUCAUUCCAGUGCCUCUGCUGGGUCUCCAUGGAGCAGCUGUGGUUUUCACAUGACGCUAUGGACAACUUCUGAGGUUUACAAGUCAGACAUGAACAUGUACAGGCUUGGAGUGACUAAAAAGGAAGGCAGCAAACACUCUCAUCUGGUGUUGGGGUGGAUGGGCAAAUGCCAGGAGUUUCAGAGGACUUUGAAGGAGAAUGACACUGGAGGCCUUGAGUUCAGUCACCAGAACCAUGUAAGAGAGCUGGACACAGUGGAAUGCACUUGUAACCUCAAAUCGAAGGAGGGGAAGACAGCCCAACUGUCAACCAACGCGGCUGUGCGAGCCAGGAAUGAAUAUUCCCAAAGCGCCAACAGAAGGAAGUGCUUCACAAAAACGGAGCCCGAGGGCGUGAAGGGAAAACAAGCCCUGUUCACACGCA
rnacentral:lncRNA from 1 species